UGAAAAAAAAAAGAAAAAGAGUUAAAUCUCUAAACCAAUGAAUCUCAUAAUAAAAUAAUAAACUGACUUUCUGACCAUUUGAACUAGCCCGCAUCAUCAAAUGUGUCGAUUGGACAGUAAGGCCCUGUCUCUGAUAUGGCCGAGAUCUUUGUCGUGCUGACACCGGAAAAGGUUGCAACGGCUAUGGGCAUUUAGCACCUGUCUCAGCCUGUCUGUCUCCACCUUUAGUGUUUCCUCUUGGGUUUUGACAGCCCAACAACAAAAAAUUUCUCUGGGGCUUUCGCAUAUAGAAUGAUCUUGCUCAUCAGUCUCUGUCUUUGAGUAUAUUCAUGCCUGCUUGACAGGCAGAAUAUGACUAUCUUACAAUACCUGAUGCUCUUGUAGAGAAAAAGAUGGCCUUCUGGGAUUGAGAGGACUGAAGUCAGGGGACCUAGCUAUGGAACUGAGGUUGUAUUCUGCAAAUUCACUUCUUCACAAGUUGAUAUGCCUGUUAUUCGAUCUGAGCAAGGUGCAGGAAUGAUCAAUUGCAAUAUACUGCAGAGGAACUUAAGAUGGGAUGCACGAUGAAAUUUAUUGGUCCAAACUUCUACUGAAUUUUGAAGGGGAGUUCAAUAAGAACGCUUUGGUAAUCUUAUGGUGACAAGUUUGAGUCAUAAGAGUUUUUCCCAAUGAUUAUUGAGUUCCUUCUCUGAGAAGUGGAUGUUGAUGACGAACUGGAAUAUGUUUCUUGCUGCUAACAGAAGAGGCAACAAGCGAGUCAAUCUCUCUAUACCUCGAGGCUUGCUAGUAGAGCGUUGGUGGAUAAGUGAGACUCGUAACUUUCAACCUUUUCCAUGCAAGUGGUGCUAACAGACUUGAACCGGAAAAGAAAUAAGAAGACAAAGGAAAAAAAGAAGUCUCGAACUGAAGCAGAAGCUAACAGCUGAGCCCUCAGUAAUAGUGAUGAAUAAUUGAACUUGAAGUCUCGAACUGAAAAUUAUAGCAGGGGAUGAGAGACAUCCUCCUCUUCAUGAUGCAUUAAAUGGAUGUUGUCUAGUGGUUUUCAAUGGCUUUUCAACAAUGGAUACAUGUCGAGAUGAUAUCAUUAUCUUUAGCUCCUGGUUCAAGUAAUGACCAAAAUGUACUUUUAUCCUUGCAAAUCAAGUGAACUGAGAUAAUUUAGAUGAAGUGAAUCGAAUGUAGUAACUGAAGAAGUUGCAGAACAUUGUACAUGCUACAGCAAUUACAGAAAUCAAAAUGUAUAAGUGACUCUGAGGACCGAGAUGGCAAUUGUAGAGAUCAAAAGGUAUCCAUGGCUCUGAGAUUAAGCGUCGACUUAUUCCAGAUCUAAUAUCCCGAAAUUGGACAGAAG